rnacentral:rRNA from 1 species
UACGGAGGGUGCAAGCGUUAUCCGGAUUCACUGGGUUUAAAGGGUGCGUAGGCGGGCAGGUAAGUCAGUGGUGAAAUCUCCGAGCUUAACUUGGAAACUGCCGUUGAUACUAUCUGUCUUGAAUAUUGUGGAGGUGAGCGGAAUAUGUCAUGUAGCGGUGAAAUGCUUAGAUAUGACAUAGAACACCAAUUGCGAAGGCAGCUCGCUACACAUAUAUUGACUCUGAGGCACGAAAGCGUGGGGAUCAAACAGG